rnacentral:rRNA from 1 species
UGUCUAGUAUAAGCAAUUAUACCGCGAAACUGCGAAUGGCUCAUUAUAUAAGUUAUCGUUUAUUUGAUAAUACUUUACUACUUGGAUAACCGUGGUAAUUCUAGAGCUAAUACAUGCUGAAAAUCCCGACUUCGGAAGGGAUGUAUUUAUUAGAUUAAAAACCAAUGCCCCUCGGGGCUCUCUGGUGAAUCAUGAUAACUAGUCGAAUCGACAGGCCUUGUGCCGGCGAUGGCUCAUUCAAAUUUCUUCCCUAUCAACUUUCGAUGUUUGGGUAUUGGCCAAACAUGGUGGCAACGGGUAACGGAGGGUUAGGGCUCGACCCCGGAGAAGGAGCCUGAGAAACGGCUACUACAUCCAAGGAAGGCAGCAGGCGCGCAAAUUACCCAAUCCCGACACGGGGAGGUAGUGACAAUAAAUACUGAUACAGGGCUCUUUUGGGUCUUGUAAUCGGAAUGAGUACAAUUUAAAUCCCUUAACGAGGAACAAUUGGAGGGCAAGUCUGGUGCCAGCAGCCGCGGUAAUUCCAGCUCCAAUAGCGUAUAUUAAAGUUGUUGUGGUUAAAAAGCUCGUAGUUGAACCUUGGGCCUGGCUGGCCGGUCCGCCUCACCGCGUGCACUGGUCCGGCCGGGCCUUUCCCCUCUGCGGAACCCCAUGCCCUUCACUGGGUGUGGCGGGGAAACAGGACUUUUACUUUGAAAAAAUUUANAGUGCUCAAGGCAGGCCUAUGCUCGAAUACNUUAGNAUGGAAUAAUAGAAUAGGACGNGNGGAUUCUAUUUUGUUUGGUUUCUAGGACC